rnacentral:rRNA from 1 species
UACGUAGGGUGCGAGCGUUGUCCGGAAUUAUUGGGCGUAAAGAGCUUGUAGGCGGUUUGUCGCGUCUGCUGUGAAAUCUCAAGGCUCAACCUUGAGCUUGCAGUGGGUACGGGCAGACUAGAGUGUGGUAGGGGAGACUGGAAUUCUCGGUGUAGCAGUGAAAUGCGUAGAUAUCGAGAGGAACACCAGUGGCGAAGGCGAGUCCCUGGACAACACCUGACACUGAGGCACGAAAGCUAGGGGAGCAAACAGG